AUGUGAUCGUCUCUCGCAUAUCAAUAAGCGGAGGAAAAGUCUGCGGAACUGAAUGACCGCUACCUACGCUUAGGAUGUUGAAGAUGUAGCACAUCAUACACGCAUGACACACUGCAUAUCAAUAAGCGGAGGAAAAGAAACUAACAAGGAUUCCCUUAGUAACGGCGAGUGAAGCGGGAAGAGCUCAAAUUUGAAAUCUUCAAGGUUUUACCUUGACGAAUUGUAGUUUAAAGAAGUGUUUUCUGUUGAAGUUUUGGUAAAAGUUCUUUGGAAUAGGACAUCAUAGAGGGUGAGAAUCCCGUAUUUGACCAUUAUUUUCAGCUGUGUGAUACACUUUCAAAGAGUCGGAUUGUUUGGGAAUGCAGUCCAAAAUGGGUGGUAAAUUUCAUCUAAAGCUAAAUAUUGGCGAGAGACCGAUAGCGAACAAGUACCGUGAGGGAAAGAUGAAAAGAACUUUGAAAAGAGAGUUAAACAGUACGUGAAAUUGUCAAAAGGGAAGCGUUUGACACCAGUGUUGUUUUCUCGAAAAUCAAUUAAAAAGAGUUUGAUUUUGUUGUGUAUUGACCUUAACAGCUUGCAUUUCAAUUUUCUUGCUUUUUUUAAUGCACUUUUCGUUUAACAAGUCAACAUCAGUUUCUUUUGAUGUAAAAAGGUCAUUGGAAGGUGGCUUUCUUUUCGGAGAAAGUGUUUAUAGCCUUUGACUCCUGCAAUCGGAGAGACUGAGGUCUGCAGCGUAGAUCCUUCGGGGUUAGAUACAUUUGUGCUAAGUUAUAGCUUUUUAUAGACAACUUGUUGACUAUGAUUAGUCUUGUAGCUUACUCGCUUAUGCUAUUUUACCUACGCUUAGGAUGUUGAAGAUGUAGCACAUCAU
rnacentral:rRNA from 1 species